rnacentral:sRNA from 1 species
UAAUCUCGAUAAAUUGAUAACACGAAAAAUAUAAACGCCAAGGAUGAAAUUAUCACUGCUGAUUUUUUCUGUGUUCACUUC